rnacentral:rRNA from 1 species
GAUGAACGCUGGCGGCGUGCCUAAUACAUGCAAGUCGAGCGAACAGACGAGGAGCUUGCUCCUCUGACGUUAGCGGCGGACGGGUGAGUAACACGUGGAUAACCUACCUAUAAGACUGGGAUAACUUCGGGAAACCGGAGCUAAUACCGGAUAAUAUAUUGAACCGCAUGGUUCAAUAGUGAAAGACGGUUUUGCUGUCACUUAUAGAUGGAUCCGCGCCGCAUUAGCUAGUUGGUAAGGUAACGGCUUACCAAGGCAACGAUGCGUAGCCGACCUGAGAGGGUGAUCGGCCACACUGGAACUGAGACACGGUCCUGACUCCUACGUGAGGCAGCAGUACGGAAGCUUCCGCAAUGGGCGAAAGCUUGCCGGAGCAACGCCGCGUGAGUGAUGAAGGUCUUCGGAUCGUAAAACUCUGUUAUUAGGGAAGAACAAAUGUGUAAGUAACUAUGCACGUCUUGACGGUACCUAAUCAGAAAGCCACGGCUAACUACGUG